rnacentral:ncRNA from 1 species
UAUAUUUUGCCGCGCUAAUUAAAAAUUAAUUAGCUACAUAAUAAUCAUUUAUAACAAUAUUGGCAUG